rnacentral:rRNA from 2 species
UGGGGAAUAUUGCACAAUGGGCGAAAGCCUGAUGCAGCAACGCCGCGUGAGCGAUGAAGGCCUUCGGGUCGUAAAGCUCUGUCCUCAAGGAAGAUAAUGACGGUACUUGAGGAGGAAGCCCCGGCUAACUACGUGCCAGCAGCCGCGGUAAUACGUAGGGGGCAAGCGUUAUCCGGAAUUAUUGGGCGUAAAGAGUACGUAGGCGGUUUCUUAAGCGUGAGGUGAAAGGCUAUGGCUUAACCAUAGUAAGCCUUGCGAACUGGGAGGCUUGAGUGCAGGAGAGGAAAGUGGAAUUCCUAGUGUAGCGGUGAAAUGCGUAGAUAUUAGGAGGAACACCAGUGGCGAAGGCGACUUUCUGGACUGUAACUGACGCUGAGGUACGAAAGCGUGGGGAGCGAACAGG